AUUGCUUCUUGGCCUUUUGGCUAAGAUCAAGUGUAGUAUCUGUUCUUUUUUUUUUUUUUUUUUUUUUUUUUUUUUGACAGGCAGAGUGGACAAUGAGAGAGAGAGAGAGAGAAAGGUCUUCCUUUGCCGUUGGUUCACCCUCCAGUGGCUGCCGUGGCCGGCGCGCUGUGACCAGCGCACCACGC